rnacentral:rRNA from 1 species
UUUGGACGGAGAGUUCGAUCCUGGCUCAGGAUGAACGCUGGCGGCGCGCCUAACACAUGCAAGUCGAACGGCACCUGCCCUCGGGCAGAAGCGAGUGGCGAACGGCUGAGUAACACGUGGAGAACCUGCCCCCUCCCCCGUGCUCAGGAUGAACGCUGGCGGCGCGCCUAACACAUGCAAGUCGAACGGCACCCCUCCUCGGAGGGAAGCGAGUGGCGAACGGCUGAGUAACACGUGGAGAACCUGCCCCCUCCCCC